rnacentral:rRNA from 1 species
CCCUUAGAUGUUCUGGGCCGCACGCGCGCUACACUGAUGCAUUCAACGAGUCUAAAACCUGCUCUGAUAGGGGUGGGUAAUCUUUUGAAUGUGCAUCGUGAUUGGGAUAGAUGAUUGAAAUUUUUCAUCUUCAACGAGGAAUGCCUAGUAAACGCAAGUCAUCAGCUUGCAUUGAUUACGUCCCUGCCCUUUGUACACACCGCCCGUCGCUCCUACCGAUUGAAUGUUCCGGUGAGCUCUUCGGACUGCGCGGUCUGCAGUUUCUGCGUUCCGUGCGGAAAGUUGCGCAAACCUUAACAUUUAGAGGAAGGAGAAGUCGUAACA